GACAGAGGAUGCAAGCGUUAUCCGGAUUCACUGGGCUUAAAGGGUGCGUAGGUGGAAUGGUAAGUCAGUGGUGAAAUCUCCAAGCUUAACUUGGAAACUGCCGUUGAUACUAUCAUUCUUGAAUAUCGUGGAGGUAAGCGGAAUAUGUCAUGUAGCGGUGAAAUGCUUAGAUAUGACAUAGAACACCAAUUGCGAAGGCAGCUCACUACACAAUCAUUGACGCUGAGGCACGAAAGCGUGGGGAGCAAACAGG
rnacentral:rRNA from 1 species